AACGAACGCUGGCGGCAGGCUUAACACAUGCAAGUCGAACGCAUCGCAAGAUGAGUGGCAGACGGGUGAGUAACACGUGGGAACGUACCCUUUACUACGGAAUAACGCAUGGAAACGUGUGCUAAUACCGUAUGAGCCCUUAGGGGGAAAGAUUUAUCGGUAAAGGAUCGGCCCGCGUUGGAUUAGCUAGUUGGUGGGGUAAAGGCCUACCAAGGCGACGAUCCAUAGCUGGUCUGAGAGGAUGAUCAGCCACAUUGGGACUGAGACACGGCCCAAACUCCUACGGGAGGCAGCAGUGGGGAAUAUUGGACAAUGGGCGCAAGCCUGAUCCAGCCAUGCCGCGUGAGUGAUGAAGGCCUUAGGGUUGUAAAGCUCUUUCACCGGAGAAGAUAAUGACGGUAACCGGAGAAGAAGCCCCGGCUAACUUCGUGCCAGCCGCCGCAGUAAGAC
rnacentral:rRNA from 1 species